AAAUGCCUGUUGUGUAAGCCUGCCAGGAGUGCUUGUCACGGCAGCCUAACAGCCAAACUGUCAAGCUCUGUUGGGACUCUUCACCUCUGAACCUCAGCCUGGAAACUCUACAAGCAAUAAACGGAGGCCAUUGUAA